rnacentral:rRNA from 1 species
UAAGAGUUUGGACCUGGCUCAGAUUGAACGCUGGCGGCAGGCCUAACACAUGCAAGUCGAGCGGUAGAGAGAAGCUUGCUUCUCUUGAGAGCGGCGGACGGGUGAGUAAUGCCUAGGAAUCUGCCUGGUAGUGGGGGAUAACGUUCGGAAACGGACGCUAAUACCGCAUACGUCCUACGGGAGAAAGCAGGGGACCUUCGGGCCUUGCGCUAUCAGAUGAGCCUAGGUCGGAUUAGCUAGUUGGUGGGGUAAUGGCUCACCAAGGCGACGAUCCGUAACUGGUCUGAGAGGAUGAUCAGUCACACUGGAACUGAGACACGGUCCAGACUCCUACGGGAGGCAGCAGUGGGGAAUAUUGGACAAUGGGCGAAAGCCUGAUCCAGCCAUGCCGCGUGUGUGAAGAAGGUCUUCGGAUUGUAAAGCACUUUAAGUUGGGAGGAAGGGUUGUAGAUUAAUACUCUGCAAUUUGACGUACCGACAGAAUAGCCCGAUG